UUACGGUCAAAUCACGUUGAAACGCCGAUGCUCAUACAACCAUCGAAGUUAAGCAACGUCGAGCCUGGUCAGUACUUAGAUGGGUGACCGCUUGGGAAUACCGGCUGCUGUAUG
rnacentral:rRNA from 1 species